rnacentral:tRNA from 1 species
GCCCCGGUGGCAAUGGUUAAGCAUUCCGCUGCUAACCGAAAGUUUGGCGGUUCAAACCCACCCAGGGGCU